rnacentral:rRNA from 1 species
CCUACGGGAGACAGCAGUGAGGAAUAUUGGUCAAUGGCCGGAAGGCUGAACCAGCCAUGCCGCGUGAAGGUCAGUGCCCUAUGGGCGUUAAACUUCUUUUGUGCGGGAGCAAUAAUGGUCACGUGUGGCCAGACGAGAGUACCGUACGAAUAAGCAUCGGCUAACUCCGUGCCAGCAGCCGCGGUAAUACGGGGGGUGCAAUCGUUAUCCGGAUUUAUUGGGGUUAAAGGGUGCGUAGGCUGUGAGGUAAGUCAGCGGUGAAAUGCCCCCGCUCAACGGGGUGAAGUGCCAUUGAUACUGCCUUGCUGGAAUGCGGAUGCCGUGGGAGGAAUGUGUGGUGGAGCGGUGAAAUGCAUAGAUAUCACACAGAACACCGAUUGCGAAGGCAUCUCACGAAUCCGCGAUUGACGCUGAUGCACGAAAGCGUGGGUAUCAAACAGGAUUAGAUACCCGGGUAGUC